rnacentral:rRNA from 1 species
GACGAACGCUGGCGGCGUGCUUAACACAUGCAAGUCGAACGGAAAGGCCCUGCUUUUGUGGGGUGCUCGAGUGGCGAACGGGUGAGUAACACGUGAGUAACCUGCCCUUGACUUUGGGAUAACUUCAGGAAACUGGGGCUAAUACCGGAUAGGAGCUCCUGCUGCAUGGUGGGGGUUGGAAAGUUUCGGCGGUUGGGGAUGGACUCGCGGCUUAUCAGCUUGUUGGUGGGGUAGUGGCUUACCAAGGCUUUGACGGGUAGCCGGCCUGAGAGGGUGACCGGCCCCCUUGGGACUGAGAUACCGCCCCGACUCCUACGGGGGGCAGCAGUGGGGAAUAUUGCACAAUGGGCGGAAGCCUGAUGCAGCAACGCCGCGUGCGGGAUGACGGCCUUCGGGUUGUAAACCGCUUUCGCCUGUGACGAAGCGUGAGUGACGGUAAUGGGUAAAGAAGCACCGGCUAACUACGUG